rnacentral:rRNA from 1 species
CCCGCUGAACUUAAGCAUAUCAAUAAGGCGAGGAACAGAAGCCAACAGGGAUUCCCCUAGUAGUGGCGAAUGAAGCGGGAAAAGCUCAAGUUUGAAAUCUGGAGGGCGACUUCCAGAGUUGUAAGCUGACGAGGCAUCAACCGACAUGGUCUGGGCUUAAUUUCCUUGGAACAGGAGGUCAUGGAGGGUGAGAACCCCGUCUGUGGCUCAGGUGCCAUUGUCCUUGUGUUGUGUCCUUGAAGAGUCGGGUUGUUUGGGAAUGCAGCUCAAAAUGGGUGGUAAAUUUCAUCUAAAGCUAAAUAUUGGCGAGAGACCGAUAGCAAACAAGUAGAGUGAUCGAAAGAUGAAAAGUACUUUGAAAAGAGAGUGAAACAGUACGUGAAAUUGUUGAAAGGGAAGCGUUUGGCAUCAGCCCAUGGCGCCCGUCGAUCAUCCAGGCUUCUGUCUGGUGCACUUGUCGGGUGCUGGGCCAGCGUCGGCUUUGCCCGCCGGAAAAAGGUCUUGGGGAUGUGGCUCCCUUCGGGGAGUGUUAUAACCCUUGGCGUCAUGCGGUGUGGUGGGGCCGAGGUCCGCGGAUUUUUCCUAGGACGCUGGCGUAAUGGUUCCAAGCGGCCCGUCUUGAAACACGG